UGGGGAAUAUUGGACAAUGGGGGGAACCCUGAUCCAGCCAUGCCGCGUGUGUGAAGAAGGCCUUAUGGUUGUAAAGCACUUUAAGCGAGGAGGAGGGUACUGGUAUUAAUACUACCAGGUACUGGACGUUACUCGCAGAAUAAGCACCGGCUAACUCUGUGCCAGCAGCCGCGGUAAUACAGAGGGUGCGAGCGUUAAUCGGAUUUACUGGGCGUAAAGCGUGCGUAGGCGGCUAAUUGAGUCGGAUGUGAAAUCCCCGAGCUUACCUUGGGAAUUGCAUUCGAUACUGGUUAGCUAGAGUGUGGGAGAGGAUGGUAGAAUUCCAGGUGUAGCGGUGAAAUGCGUAGAGAUCUGGAGGAAUACCGAUGGCGAAGGCAGCCAUCUGGCCUAACACUGACGCUGAGGUACGAAAGCAUGGGGAGCAAACAGG
rnacentral:rRNA from 1 species